rnacentral:rRNA from 1 species
AACGAACGCUGGCGGCAUGCCUAACACAUGCAAGUCGAACGAGACCUUCGGGUCUAGUGGCGCAAGGGUGCGUAACGCGUGGGAACCUGCCCUUAGGUUCGGAAUAACUCCCCGAAAGGGGUGCUAAUACCGGAUAAUGUCUUCGGACCAAAGAUUUAUCGCCUUUGGAUGGGCCCGCGUUGGAUUAGCUAGUUGGUAGGGUAAAAGCCUACCAAGGCGACGAUCCAUAGCUGGUCUGAGAGGAUGAUCAGCCACACUGGGACUGAGACACGGCCCAGACUCCUACGGGAGGCAGCAGUGGGGAAUAUUGGACAAUGGGCGAAAGCCUGAUCCAGCAAUGCCGCGUGAGUGAUGAAGGCCUUAGGGUUGUAAAGCUCUUUUACCCGGGAUGAUAAUGGCAGUACCGGGAGAAUAAGCUCCGGCUAACUCCGUG